GACAAUGGGAAUCCGAUUAUUUAAUCAAAACAAAGCAUUGCGAUGGUCCUCCCGAAUGGUGACGCAAUGUGAUUUCUGCCCAGUGCUCUGAUACGUCUCAAACGUAU
rnacentral:ncRNA from 1 species